AACGGUUCGUUUCGGGUUAGUAAACCCUUUCAGUUGGGACGAAGCUUCGCCGGUGAAUAGCCGGCCGGAGUGACGGUACCUUCACAAGAAGCACCGGCUAACUACGUGC
rnacentral:rRNA from 1 species